rnacentral:rRNA from 1 species
CCUACGGGUGGCAGCAGUGAGGAAUAUUGGUCAAUGGACGAGAGUCUGAACCAGCCAAGUAGCGUGAAGGAUGACUGCCCUAUGGGUUGUAAACUUCUUUUAUAUGGGAAUAAAACAGGGUAUGCAUACCCUCUGGUAUGUACCAUAUGAAUAAGGAUCGGCUAACUCCUUGCAAGCAGCCGCGGUAAUACGGAGGAUCCGAGCGUUAUCCGGAUUGAUUGGGUUUAAAGGGAGCGUAGAUGGGUUGUUAAGUCAGUUGUGAAAGUUUGCGGCUCAACCGUAAAAUUGCAAUUGAUACUGGCAGUCUUGAGUACAGUUGAGGUAGGCGGAAUUCGUGGUGUAGCGGUGAAAUGCUUAGAUAUCACGAAGAACCCCGAUGGCGAAGGCAGCUUACUAAACUGUGACUGACAUUGAUGCUCGAAAGUGUGGGUAUCAAACAGGAUUAGAUACCCGGGUAGUC